rnacentral:rRNA from 1 species
GUCUAUGGCCAUGCUACCCUGAACAAGUCCGAUCCCAUCUGAUCUUGGAAGCCAAGCAGGGUCAGGCCUGGUUAGUACUUGGAUUGGAGACCACCUAGGAAGACCAGGUGCUAUAGGCA